rnacentral:rRNA from 1 species
UACGGGGGGGGCAAGCGUUGUUCGGAAUUACUGGGCGUAAAGGGUUCGUAGGUGGCCACUUAAGUCAGACGUGAAAUCCCUCAGCUUAACUGGGGAACUGCGUCUGAUACUGAGUGGCUUGAGUGCAGGAGAGGAAUGCGGAAUUCCAGGUGUAGCAGUGAAAUGCGUAGAUAUCGGGAGGAACAUCCGUGGCGAAGGCGGCCACCUGGACCAACAUUGACGCUGAGGCACGGAAGCGUGGGGAGCAAACAGG